GCAUGAGCGACACCAACGCAAAAGCACAAAGCCUGACUCCGGAGUGGCACUCGUGGGCGCUACCCAACCGAGUAUGCAGCGUAUCUCUGUCGAGCUCAAUCAGGCUCCAACUAGCCAAAGUCAAGUGAACAGGAUCAAAACAGGUCUACAAACCAAACCCACGUGCCCUCGGCACAAUUUGUGACCAAAACAAAAAUCUGGGUCCACCGCUAACCCGAACGGCACCCAACGACCCGAAACAGCCUAAACUCUGCUGAAGAAAAUAAGCUCGGCACCCCAGCACGAGCGUAAAUGCCUUCUAAACUACCCCAGGUAUCCAUCGCACUGAUACUGCAACGAUACAAUCGAAUCACGGCUCCUAGAGCUAAAUCUGGUAGUUUAAGCAUAUGACGGGUCAAAACGCAGGUUUUCUCCUGAGUCAAAUUUCAAGUCCAACAUGUAUAAUAUAACUAUUCAUUUCAGUAUGCUUCUACAUUCAUAUUACAUUCAAGAUGCUAAUCGAUGAAUUAAAGCAUGAUAUACAAAAAUCGAACUAUACGCGUUUACUAAACAUGCACUUAGGAGCGAAACCGAUGAUAACCCACCUCUAGUGAAAUUUCUGGCAGCAAGAUGGUCUCGGAUCACAAGUAACACAGCUGGUAACACCUCCAAACCAGCAACAAGUCCCCCCAAAAUCUGGACAUUACAAUUCACCCAAAAAUCCAACAAAACCAUCAAUUUACCAAAAAUUUCAGCACUAAUGCUUAAUUAUCUCAAUUCCAAUAUCAAAACUCACCUAAUGAUCUCCAAUUC
rnacentral:lncRNA from 1 species